GUCCCCAUAGUUUAAUGGAUAAAACGAGGCCCUCCUAAGGCUUAGAUGUUGGUUCGAUUCCAGCUGGGGACACCA
rnacentral:tRNA from 2 species